AAAGGAAAAGGCUAUUUGACUGUGGAAACAAAAAACCCAAUCCAAAACCUCACGAAAACCUCAACAGAAAAAAUGGCACUAUCAUCUUCUCUGGUUCAUCUCCCUGCUUCAAAAUCCUUUAUUUAUCCACCCAACCGGCACCGUUUUCCAGCAUUCAAAACUCCAUUUAACUUUUCAUUGUAUAAUAAAACUAAAUUGAAUGUAAAAAAUGUCUCCUUUGCUGCAACAAGAAAAGCUUCUUCUUUAGUGGUUGAAGAGGAAGAAGAACAAAAGGAGGAAUUUGAAGCUGUUAACAUUGCUGAGGAUGUAACCCAGUUGAUCGGGAGUACUCCAAUGAUAUAUCUCAACAAAGUAACAGAACGAUGUGUGGCAAAAAUUGCUGCAAAACUUGAAUCCAUGGAACCUUGUCGGAGUGUCAAAGACAGGAUUGGUCUUAGUAUGGUAUCUGAGGCUGAAGAUAGUGGAGCAAUUUCUCCUGGGAAGACCAUAUUAGUGGAACCAACAAGUGGAAAUACAGGACUUGGAAUUGCUUUUGUUGCAGCAACUAAGGGUUACAAGCUUAUAGUAACGAUGCCUGCUUCCAUAAACCUUGAAAGGAGAAUCCUUUUACGUGCAUUUGGAGCAGAGAUUGUUCUGACAGACCCAGAAAAGGGCUUCAAAGGAGCUGUUGAUAAAGCUGAAGAAAUUGUGCUUAACACUCCAAAUGCUUUCAUGCUUCAACAGUUUGAUAAUAUGGCUAAUACAAAGAUUCAUUUUGAAACUACGGGACCAGAAAUAUGGGAGGAUACUUUGGGUAAUGUUGACAUACUUGUUGCUGGAAUUGGAACUGGUGGUACUGUUACAGGCACUGGACGUUACUUGAAAAUGAUGAACAAAGAAAUUAAGGUAGUUGGUGUGGAACCUGCUGAGAGGAGUAUAAUCUCUGGAGAAAACCCAGGUUAUGUGCCAAGCAUCCUAGAUGUUAAAUUGCUUGAUGAAGUUAUCAAGGUCAGCAAUGAUGAAGCUGUUGAUAUGGCAAGGAGAUUAGCACUGGAGGAAGGCCUGCUGGUUGGCAUUUCAUCAGGAGCUGCUGCAGCUGCUGCGAUUAGCUUAGCAAAAAGGCCUGAGAACGCUGGAAAACUUAUUGCGGUUAUAUUUCCAAGCUUUGGUGAGAGGUAUAUUCCAACUGUUCUUUUUCGUUCUAUAUAUGAAGAGGUUCAACAAAUGCAAGCAGGAUAGUGUAGAUUUGUACCGGAAGAUUCAGUCUACCAUGGAAUUCAGUUCUCAUUCUUUUAAAUAAAAGCUGGCUACUGCACUACUUGACAGGUGCAAUUUUCAUAAAGGCACAGGAAUCCGUACAAGAUUUCUCAUGAUAACUAAUUUCCCAAUCAUCCUUUGGUCAUGUUUUCCUACUGGUAAUCGAAAUGCUUUGGCAUACACGUUGCUUAUUAUGCUGAUAGAUUAUACCAUUGUCAGAUGAUCUCGGGCCUAACGAGUCAAUUUGAAGAUGGGCAAAGUGUAAAGAUGUAAUUGCAGCCAAUUCUCAGGUUAUCAUUUUUAACCCAACUGGCAGAGUUAAUUUAGUUAAAUUGUAAUAGAUGGCUGGAAAUCCAGUUUUAGAGGAAGGAAUUGAUUUCCAACAUAUUUUGGAAUGUAAACCAAGAGGAAUUAUCUUGGUUUUCAACUGCUAUUUUUGGUGAAGUAUCUACUUGGAGAAGGGACCUGUUGGAUGCAAGUCUAGAUAAUGAUGAUUAAGGAUUAUGACAUGAAACAACAUUUUGGAUAAAGUUAUAUGUCUACUGAAACUGCAUUUUAUACAAAUUUGCCUAUUGGAUUUUGUGCCAGCUACUUCGACAAGAUCCCAGGAUACAUAGAAUGUUUGAGUGCGAUAUCAGGAAUCUAUUAUUGGGAAUAUCUUUUGGAAAUACAAUUUUAAUCAUGCAGGAUGUAGUUAACGUUCUUGUAAACUAACAAUCCCCCUUGAUUUUAAUGUGUUUAUCAGU